GUGUUUCUGAAACAUGCCUGAGAUUGUGCCAGGGCUCUCUUUGGGAUGAUUGGUCCACAGUGUGAUUACAGUAAAGGUGAUGCAGAUGAUGUUAGAAGUAGCUGUACAGCCAUUGAUUUGAAGCAGUUGAGGAAGGUGGAUGUAAAAGUAGUUUCGAAGAGUUAGCUGUACUUUAUCUUCAAAAGCUACACACGUAACUGAAGUUGUCUGCUAGAUUACCUUUCUUACCACAUCCAUCAAAUUGUAAGAAUAAAGAUUGUUUCAUAACAUCUUUGUCAUAAUAAGAUUUUAAACACUAUUAGAGAAUUUGAAAUAACUGGAAACUCAAUUUGUACUUCUAAAGAUAAAUGGAAACAUGAACAUGAAUGGGAAGUUACCUUAAAAUCUGCACAGUAGAAUGUUUUAUGCACAUUUACUACAAACAGCAUUCUUUAAAGAGUUCCAGAGGUUAUAGUGAAUAUAAAAAUUCACAUUCUUUGCUACUUCAGUACUAAAUUAAUAAAUAUGGUUUUAAUAACAACUUUAUAUUUUUACAUUAGUAAUAACUUUAAGUCUUUUAUGUAGGCUAAGUUUAUAGUCUUUGGUUGUAUAGACCUGGCUAAGCACACAGGAUGCUAAUUUGAGUUACUCUGCAGUUGCUUAUUUAAAAACAUUUUAUUAAAAAUAGUGUUUAGCUGUCUACCAUUGAUUUCAAAAAUCUGGUAAGGGUGAUACUGAAGGCUUGGGAAAAAAAUAGUGGCUUAAAAUUAGUUCUUAACAGAGAUGGUGAAUUAUAGGUUUGCUUAAUGCAGUUGCUCUAGAAAUAAACCAGCAUGUGGCUGCUGUAACUUUGAGAAUUAUCUCAGUUCUUUCAUCUGAGUCAGUGUCACAAUUUUAGAAUCUGUCAUUCUUGUGGUUUCAGCGAAUGAUGUAAUCUGGGAUUUAUACUCCAUUACUGCAUGUUGAAGUUACUGAAAUGUUUCCUUCCAGACAACAGUAACCGCAGCUUCUUUUUUAAGUCAUUCAGAAUUUUCUGACAAAUUCUGCGAGUUGUAGAAAUUCCAAAACUAAUAUCACUAAAUGUAUAAUGAGUAUUCUUGUAGGAGAAAACUUCUGCUGGACUAUAUGAAAACAUUUGGGAUGGGGGAGAAAGGAACAUAAAAAGUCAGCAGUAGUAGCUGCCAUAGAAUUAAGAGGAAAGCAAGAUGGUAGUAGAUAGGAAGUAUAACUGCCAUGAGGCUGGUGCUGAAGAAUAUUCCAUUUGGUGGUCAUCCUGGGUGGGUGGCAAAAGGUUUUCACUGUGGAUUUUUUGUACUACUGUGGAUGUGUUUGUGAGUAUGGUAACAAUGAUUAAUAACUUGAAUAAUAGCUAAAAUAAGUCUCAUUUCUGGUAAUGUGUCAUGAGGUAAUAAAUGUAAGGAGGUUAUAUUUGCAAGCUGUUUUAUGAGCCCUGCUGCAUUUGUAAGAGUUGACUGGCCCCAUCGCAGAGACAGCACUUUGCUUGUGCUGUCUGUCCUCAGUGAUAGCUGACGGCCAGGCACCAUUCGUCUGGUCCUCCAACCAGAAAAUGCCAACAUCUGACAGGAGACUGAGUUGGAGAGUUGUGGGGAGAGGGUUUUCAAGAGAUGAAUCCAGCAAUUUAUUAUUAAAAUGUAAAUGUUGCCUGCUUCAUCUAUCUAUCUAUCUAUCUAUCUAUCUGUCUAUCUAUCUAUCUAUCUAUCUGUCUAUCAAGUUGAUCUGGUACAAAUCUGCUUUGCAGUCUGAAAAGCAGCCAGUUUUGUAUUAAUUACUCUUGUCUAUAUUUGUUUGACCUCUUCUCUGGCACCAUACAAGACUAUUUCAUUUGUCUGUAGGUUCUGUUCCUUUUGACAAUGAUCUGAUGGUUCAAAGCCAUUCCUGUUCUACUCUUCAGCUUUUAUGUAACUCUUCAACUAGUUCUUUGCCCCAGAUUUAGACUACAAUUAUUUCUGUGAUAGUAUUGCCAGAAAUGUCUUUGCACAAUUAGAAAUUGUUGUACAUAACAGUUGGUUUCCUCCAAAGAGGGAUGCUAUGUAUGUGAAAUUGCGAAGUUGUUUGGACUGCUUCUUAUUUGAUGUGUGAGUAGUUUAUUCAGUAAGCAAUUAUUGAGUCUUUCACAAAUUAGAAAUGUUAUACCUAUUAAGGUAUAAGAAUGUACAAGCAGCAGUUUUUGUGCUUGGUUUCAUAGAACACUUGCUGGUGAAAUCUGUUGUUCUGGAGUGCUUGCUAUGUAGGCAGCAUGUGGGAUAGUAAAUUGUGAGACUAAUUUAAAGUAAGAUUUUUGAUGGCAUUUUUUCAAAUUAUGGAAAAUCUUAUUUUAAUUGGUUUUGGACGUGGACCUGCUUCAUUUGAAAAGUAAAUGAAAGCAGCUUGCAGAACCAAACAUUGUUUUAGCUCUUGCUUGUAUGUAUUUGAACUUUGAUACCCCUACUCAGUUUCUUCGAAGUACCAUACAUGCAAUUGAUCUGUUAAGUACUUGGAGUUUUUUGAAGACAUUUGGACAUGAAGAAGCAACAAGUUGUCUCUCUGUUUCCAAAUUUGAAAGUUGUCUUCAAAGAAAAACAUCAGUAUAGUUCAGUGUUUCUUACUAAGUUACAGUUUGUGCCAUGAAGGAUGUAACAGGGUUAGUUUUGUGCCUGAACUGAGUUAACUGAAUUCCCGGAGUGCUGUCAUACAUAACUCAUGCUGGAUUAAACUAAGUAACUUCUUUGGAUUCCACUAAUAGCUGUCAAAGUGUUGAGAUGUGAAGAUAAAGCCUAAUUACUGUGAGAGAGAGGACUUGUCACAUUUUUGUACAGUCAGUAGGGGAAACCUAGUUCUUCUGUCUCCUUGUUAAGUUGUGCUGAAUAAAUUGGACAUCUUUUGUUUUCAAACUUUGUUGGUUUGCAGAAUGAAGCAUAAGGAUCUACCUUUCUGGCAAGCAGGUAUAAUAAGAGUAUUAGACUUAGGUGAUGUUACACUGAAUUAUAUCAAUGAAAGUUUUUAAGAAGAUGCAGUGCUUUAAAUGAUAUUUUCAUCAGAUAUGUUGUCCUCUGAUUUUUCUCAAUAGGGAGCUUCUGUGGUAUCACAGAGGGCACCAAGUGCCAAGAGAGAUGAAAAUACUCAUAAGUUAUUCAAGCCUUAUUCUACUGAAGUGCAGAUGACUUAAUAGUUAACUAAGUUUCAUUUAAAACUAAGCAGUCAAAAAAUCUCUACCAUUCUUUCAAAUCUGGAACUGGUACUCUGCUACUUUUCUGGUUAGAGCAACUCUGCCAUCUCUUUUUUUAUUGUCAUUAUUCCAUUUUUUAAUUGCUCAUAUUUAUUUUUAUAUUACUGUCUGAGACAGUAAGGCUCUCAGCAUUUAUUGGCAGUAGUGAAAUUGCAAUCAAAUAUCACACUGAUGUAGUACCAGAAAUAAUAAUUAGUAUUCUUUACUAAAUGAUAGAGGAAUAUACAUAUAAGACUGUCUAAAUUUGGACAGUAUUUGGUUGUGGCAGUAUGGCUAUCUUUGACAUGUUUUAUGUAUCUCCCACAUGAAAUAUUUAAUGCUGCUUGCUCCUGAGUAAUAUUUUCUAAUACAGUUCUCAUUUUGCUGUUAAAGAACUUAUUCACACUGGUGCAAAGGAAAGGACACUUUUUUUUAAUCAGUGCAGCUUUGCAUCUAUAAGAAAACCUGGCUGAGCUCUGCAUUCUGGAAUGCAAAAAUUGUCAAUUUCUGUUCAGUGUGGGACAGUGAGUAAGGUGUCAUUUUCAGACUUAUUUUGAAGUAUUAUUAUCAAGCUGCAGACAAUUUAGUAUGAAGUAAAAGCAGAUAUAAAAAAACAAACAAACAAAAAAAAACCAUCAAAA